GUUUAAUUAAUUAAUUAGUGUUAAUUGGGAGCGAUUUUAAAGGGUUUGGGCUGGGGGUGUGCAGCGCUCCCCCCAACCUUAUUAAUUUAUGCUAAUUAGUUAAUUAAUGCUAAUUAAUGCUGUGUGUUAAUUUCUUGCAUGUGCUGAAAGGACCACGGGACCAAGGGCCGAGGCAUGACCCUGGUGAGCAGGACAACUCGGACAACAACACCAUCUUCGUGCAGGGGCUGGGGGAGAAUGUCACCAUCGAGUCGGUGGCUGAUUACUUCAAGCAGAUCGGGAUCAUUAAG